rnacentral:hammerhead_ribozyme from 1 species
CCACUGCUGAAGAGUCCCGCAAUAGAACAAAACGGCCGUCCAGUGC